UGGGGCCCAGCUCUUCCAAAUUCUUUCCCAAGGUUGGAAUUGAAUGGCUCCAAUGAACAUUGCAUCAUAUGCUGAUUUUGCUGAAUAUUGUCCAGAUGCUGAGAAUUUCAAGAUGUGAGAAUCCUCCACAUCAGGCUGCAAAACUCUUUCUGCAAGUAAAUCCCAAAGACCAAGAUACUCAACUAGAACAUCCAGGAUUGGGAAUUGCACCAAAGAGAUGUGGUACAAGCUGACCAAGGUUCUGCCCAUGAAUCCAAUUGUCGGUCCAGAAAAAAGUGUUCCUGCCAUUUCCAACUUCCGAGAUGAUGGCCACAGCAAAGAAGGAUUUGACUGAUUGAUGUACUUGUAUGGGCAAAAAGGCCCAUGGUUUGUCAGGUUAAGUUUUUUCCAGCCAAAGCCAUCUUGCUCUAAGGGCCCAACCAAGCUGCUACAAAUUAGAUAUGCCUAAACCCCCUAGUUCAGGUGGGCGAGUAACCUUGGGCCAAGCGACUAAACAAUGCCCUCCCUUAACAUCAUUUCUUCCCUUCCAUAGGAAACCUCUCCUGAUCUUAUCGAUGGACUUAAGCGCCCAGAUCGGGAGGUCCACAGGCAUGGCUAAGUACACUAGCAUUUGCCGAGCUCUGGCGCGAGGAGUACCCGCCUUGGGCCAUGCUUGACUUGAUUUCUUCUUAUUUCGGGGCUUUGAUCACCAAAAUUCAUUAUCGAGCUUGUGGAUUUUGUUGUCUGCUUGGAGAUUGGGAAUUCACCUCUCCUCCCCUACAAACUAAUGGCAUGCAGCCAGCGUCCCAGCCCUUUUUCUAACAAUCUGUUGUAUCAGAUUGUUACCAUGUUGCCGUACCUAUGUAUUUCCAUGUGAACUUGUAGCCCCGUGUUGGGUGAUGUGCUCGGUUGUGGUUACAGGAUGAAAUGUCAUCCCAAUGAAAUAUUUCUGAUAAAUGUUAGUCAGGUGGUUCAGUUCGCCUUGAUAGACACUUCA